CGCGGUAAAUUGACCGUGCAAAGGUAGCAUAAUCAUUAGUCUUUUAAUAGAAGUCUGGUAUGAAAGGUUUAACGAAACAUAAACUGUCUUAAAUUAUAUAAAUUGAAUUUAACCUUCAAGUUAAAAGGCUUGAAUUAUACUGAUGGACGAGAAGACCCUAUAGAGUUUUAUGUAGUUAAUUGUGAUUAUCUAGUUGAUUAAAAAUAGAUAUUAUUUUUGGCUGUAUUUGGUUGGGGUGACUAUGAAUAUAUAAUUAACUUUUUUAUUAAAUGAACAUUAAUUUAUGAUUAUUUGAUCCAUUAUUGUUGAUUAUUAGAUCAAAUUACCUUAGGGAUAACAGCGUAAUCUUCUUUCAGAGUUCAAAUUUACAAGAAGGCUUGCGACCUCGAUGUUGGAUUAAGAUAAUUAUUAAGUGCAGUAGCUUAACUAAUAGGUCUGUUCGAC
rnacentral:rRNA from 1 species